rnacentral:rRNA from 1 species
GAUGAACGCUGGCGGCGUGCCUAAUACAUGCAAGUCGAGCGCAGCGGGGACGGUUGAGUAACACGUGGAUAACCUCCUAUAAGACUGGGAUAACUUCGGGAAACCGGAGCUACACAGGAUACUUGUAGAUGGAUCCGCGCUGCAUUAGCUAGUUGGUAAGGUAACGGCUUACCAAGGCAACGAUGCAUAGCCGACCUGAGAGGGUGAUCGGCCACACUGGAACUGAGACACGGUCCAGAAUCCUACGGGAGGCAGCAGUAGGGAAUCUUCCGCAAUGGGCGAAAGCCUGACGGAGCAACGCCGCGUGAGUGAUGAAGGUCUUCGGAUCGUAAAACUCUGUUAUUAGGGAAGCGGUACCUAAUCAGAAAGCCACGGCUAACUACGUGCCAGCAGCCGCGGUAAUUC